GAGAGAGAGAGAGAGAGAGAGAGAGAGAGAGAGAGAGAGAGAGAGAGAGAGAGAGAGAGAGAGAGAGAGAGAGAGAGACGUAAUAGUAGUAUAUAAAAACAUUGUUACAUGCUUGUUACAUGCUGGAGAUAGAUGGUUACAUAAUUGUUUAAGUAGCAUGACGAGGAGCAAAAAAGGUACAAGAUGGCCAAUGCCUUAUGUUAUGACACAGGACAGAUUAUAAUGUUAUUUUUUACAUUUACAGCCUUAAAUAUUCGUAUGGCAUUGAUAUACA